UCCGGUUUGUCACCGGCAGUCCUCUUAGAGUCCCCGACAUAACUCGCUGGCAACUAAGAGCAGGGGUUGCGCUCGUUGCGGCACUUAAGCCAACACCUCACGGCACGAGCUGACGACAGCCAUGCAGCACCUGUGCUAGCCCCUUACGGACACGGGCUUUCACCCGCUUUAACUAGCAUGUCAAACCCAGGUAAGGUUCUUCGCGUUGCGCCGAAUUAAACAACAUGCUCCACCGCUUGUGCGGGCCCCCGUCAAUUUCUUUGAGUUUUAGCCUUGCGGCCGUACUCCCCAGGCGGAGUGCUUAACGCGUUAGCUUCGGCACCACGAGGGUCAAAGCCCGUGACACCUAGCACUCAUCGUUUACGGCGUGGACUAC
rnacentral:misc_RNA from 1 species